rnacentral:misc_RNA from 1 species
AAGUCGUAACAAGGUUUCCGUAGGUGAACCUGCGGAAGGAUCAUUACUGAAUUUAAUUUCAACACGUGAACACUUAUGUUUUGCUUGGUCGACGAGCAAUUGCGUUUGUCGACCAAUUUAACAAACACUUAUAUUUUUGUCUGAACCUUGAUUAAUACAAUAAAUCAAAACUUUCAACAACGGAUCUCUUGGUUCUC